rnacentral:ncRNA from 2 species
AUUUAAUGAAAAGCGCCAGAACUUAGAUUUCGAUCGGGAAAAGGAUCUAAGUUGACGAGGGACAGGGUUCAUCGAGUUUUCGGCGGAUGCCCUGCGGUGUAUUCACCACCGAUAGCGGAUCUACAAAACCAUGGAGCAAUCUGUGGAACAAAAUGAUCUUGGUGAAAAGGU